rnacentral:rRNA from 1 species
GAUGAACGCUGGCGGCGUGCUUAACACAUGCAAGUCGAACGAUGAAGCCCAGCUUGCUGGGUGGAUUAGUGGCGAACGGGUGAGUAACACGUGAGUAACCUGCCCUUGACUCUGGGAUAAGCCUGGGAAACUGGGUCUACUACUGGAUAUGACUUCUCAUCGCAUGGUGGGGGGUGGAAAGAUUUAUUGGUCUUGGAUGGACUCGCGGCCUAUCAGCUUGUUGGUGAGGUAAUGGCUCACCAAGGCGACGACGGGUAGCCGGCCUGAGAGGGUGACCGGCCACACUGGGACUGAGACACGGCCCAGACUCCUACGGGAGGCAGCAGUGGGGAAUAUUGCACAAUGGGCGCAAGCCUGAUGCAGCGACGCCGCGUGAGGGAUGACGGCCUUCGGGUUGUAAACCUCUUUCAGUAGGGAAGAAGCGAGAGUGACGGUACCUGCAGAAGAAGCGCCGGCUAACUACGUG